rnacentral:lncRNA from 1 species
GGCUAAGGCUCAGGACUGUGACUCAGAAGACCUGAGGUGUAUUUUUUUUUCAGCUCUACCAUGAGAUUCUUGUUAGACCUUAGGCCAGUCUCCUAUUCUGUGUGUCUCAGUUUCUCAUCCACGAAGUGGAAAUGAUCAUGCUUAGCUACUUCAGACGCUGAAUUCCUUGGAUGAGCAUUCUAUGAAAAGAACCUGUGCUAUGAAGAAGAAGGGGAGUGAUGGAGCAUUCACAACAGGCCUUCCUCCUGAUAAAAAGAAAAUAUUCUGAAGCCGUUUUAGUGACACAGCAGCCUAAGUUCCAUUGACCGCCUCAGUGACUUUUGAAAAUGGAACUUAGAUGUCUUCAUUAUGUGAAAGCUACAGACUUGGACAGCCCAUUGUGACACAGAGGCCCACUGGAGGUUCACCGCUGUGUCAGCAACUCUUGUCAGGCCUGGCAUAUUCCGUGCACCCCAACACACAGUAGCAUGACAAAAUGUGGCAUGUAAUAUAGCAUUGGAAAAUUAGCAACUCACUGAUCAUUAAUGUUCUUGCAUGAUGAAAGUCUGGUCAACCCCCAAAGGACUUUUAGAUAUGUGUUGCAAAUAUGUUCUUAAAAAGGACUGAGCAAGCACAAGCGGUGCCUAAGCCAC